UUAUCCGGAAUUAUUGGGCGUAACGAGCUCGUAUAAAGUUUGUCGCGUCUGUCGUGAAAGUCCGGGGCUUAACCCCGGAUCUGCGGUGGGUACGGGCAGACUAAGUGCAGUAGGGGGGACUGGAAUUCCUGGUGUACGGUGGAAUGCGCAGAUAUCAGGAGGAACACCGAUGGCGAAGGCAGGUCUCUGGGCUGUAACUGACGCUGAGGAGCGAAAGCGUGGGGAGCGAACAGGAUUAAUACCCUGGUAGUCAAGGGCG
rnacentral:rRNA from 1 species